CAAUUAGAUGGAUAAAGUGAAUAAGCGAACAAUUAAAAUUAAAUAUUUGUUUAAUUUUAUAUCCGUGAAUCCUAUUUUGUUACUCUGGCCCAAGAUGACACUUGCUUUGACAAGGAACGUCAUAUAUUUUUAACAUUAACAUGUUUUGUUCAUGCAUGUUCCUUUGCAUAUGCAUUUUUUGUAAAGUUCCUAAAUAUUCUAAAACAAUUGUCCUCCCACAUUAUGUUUACUUCCGA
rnacentral:lncRNA from 1 species